UUCCGGUUGAUCCUGCCGGAGGUCACUGCUAUUGGGAUUCGACUAAGCCAUGCGAGUCGAGAGGGUUCGGCCCUCGGCAGACGGCUCAGUAACACGUGGAUAAUCUGCCCUUAGGUGGAGGAUAACCUCGGGAAACUGAGAAUAAUACUCCAUAGAUCUAGGAUGCUGGAAUGCACUUAGAUUGAAAGUUCCGGCGCCUAAGGAUGAGUCUGCGGACUAUCAGGUAGUAGUCAGGGUAAAGGCCUGACUAGCCUACGACGGAUACGGGUUGUGAGAGCAAUAACCCGGAGACGAUAUCUGAGACACGAUAUCGGGCCCUACGGGGCGCAGCAGGCGCGAAACCUUCACAAUGUGCGAAAGCGCGAUGAGGGGAUCCCAAGUGCUUGCUCGUAAGAGUAAGCUGUUUUUAUGUCUAAAACGCAUAGAGAGUAAGGGCUGGGUAAGACGGGUGCCAGCCGCCGCGGUAAUACCUGCAGCUCAAGCGGUGACCGCUAUUAUUGGGCCUAAAACAUUCGUAGCCGGUUUGGUAAAUGCCUGGGUAAAUCGUGUAGCUUAACUAUACGAAUUCCGGGUAGACUGCCAAACUUGAGACCGGGAGAAGCUAGAGGUACUCCUUGGGUAGAGGUGAAAUUCUGUAAUCCUAGGGGGACCACCAGUGGCGAAGGCGUCUAGCUAGAACGGGUUUGACGGUGAGGAAUGAAGCCCUGGGGCGCAAACCGGAUUAGAUACCCGGGUAGUCCAGGGUGUAAACGCUGCUUGCUUGAUGUUAGUUGGGCUCCGAGCCCAAUUAGUGUCGGAGAGAAGUUGUUAAGCAAGCUGCCUGGGAAGUACGAUCGCAAGAUUGAAACUUAGAGGAAUUGGCGGGGGAGCACAGCAACGGGUGGAGCGUGCGGUUUAAUUGGAUUCAACGC
rnacentral:rRNA from 1 species